rnacentral:rRNA from 3 species
AUUUGGUCAAGCUAUUAAGAGCACAUGGUGGAUGCCUAGGCGUCUAGAGGCGAUGAAGGACGUGUCCAGCUGCGAUAAGCUUCGGGGAGCUGCCAAGAGAGCUUUGAUCCGAAGAUUUCCGAAUGAGGAAACUCUCAUCGGGUCAUACCGAUGAAUCCCGAGAUUGAAUACAUAGAUUUCGGGAAGUAAACUCCGGGAACUGAAACAUCUCAUGUACCGGAAGGAAAAGAAAUCAACGAGAUUCCCCGAGUAGUGGCGAGCGAAAGGGGAAGAGCCUAAACUUGCUCCACUUCGGUGGGGUGAGGGUUGCGGGACCUCAAUAUGGGACCAACAAGAGUAGAUGAACGGCAUGGGAAGGCCGGCCACAGAGCGUGAUAGCCGCGUAAUCAACAUUUGAGUUGGCCCUAGAGGUAUCCCAAGUACCACGGGACACGAGAAAUCCUGUGGGAAUCUGGGGAGACCAUUCUCCAAGGCUAAAUACUCCUAGACGACCGAUAGUGAACUAGUACCGUGAGGGAAAGGUGGGAAGAACCCCGAAAGGGGAGGUCAGUGAACCUGAAACCAUGUGCUUACAAGCAGUCAGAGCACUAUGCCCCGCCGCAAGGCGGGAUAGGUGUGAUGGCGUGCCUUUUGCAUAAUGAGCCAGUGAGUUACUGUCGCAUGCAAGGUUAAUCCCUUAAGGGGAGAAGCCGUAGCGAAAGCGAGUCCGAAAUGGGCGAAUUAGUAUGCGGUAGUAGACCCGAAACCAGUUGCGAUCUAUCCAUGGCCAGGGUGAAGUCUUGGUAACACAAGAUGGAGGCCCGAACUGGUGGACGUUGAAAAGUCCUCGGAUGAGUUGUGGAUAGGAGUGAAAGGCUAAUCAAGCCUGGAGAUAGCUGGUUCUCCUCGAAAUAUAUUGAGGUAUAGCCUCAUGUUAAUACUGUCGGAGGUAGAGCACUGGAUGGACUAGAGGUCUUACCGGACUAUCAAACCCAACCAAACUCCGAAUGCCGACAAGUUCUGCAUGGGAGGCAGACCGUAGGGGAUAAGCUCUAUGGUCGAGAGGGAAAAAGCCCAGACCGUCAGCUAAGGUCCCAAAAUCAUACUUAAGUGGUUAAGGAUGUGGAAGCGCACAGACAACCAGGAGGUUGGCUUAGAAGCAGCCAUCCUUUAAAGAAAGCGUAACAGCUCACUGGUCAAGUGAGUCUGCGCCGAAAAUGUAACGGGGCUCAAAGUAUGUACCGAAGCUACGGGUGUAAAAGUUUCUUCGGAAAUUUUUACGCGGUAGAGGAGCAUUCCGUAUGCCUGUGAAGGGUCAUCGUGAGGAGGCCUGGAGGUAUCGGAAGAGAUUAUGCUGGCAUAAGUAGCGAUUAAACGCGUGAGAAACGCGUUCGCCGAAAUUCUAAGGUUUCCUGGGGAAGGUUAAUCCGCCCAGGGUGAGUCGGGUCCUAAGCUGAGGCUGAAAGGCGUAGGCGAUGGACAUCCGGUUAAUAUUCCGGAACCGCUGUUUGCAUGUUAUGCAACGGAGUGACAGAUUGGGAUAGUUCAGCCCCCUGAUGGAUGGGGGUUCAAACGCGUAGGAAGAUCCGCCAGGCAAAAUCCAGUGGAUCAAUUCCAAGGCGUGAUGUCGACCUGGAUCGCAAGUGAAAGGGAAGUGAUUGAAUCCUGGUUUCAAGAAAAGCUUCGUUGUGAUGUAGAUGGCGCCCGUACCGUAAACGGACACACGUAGAAAGGGAGAAUAUCCCAAGGCGCUUGAGAGAAUUCUGGUCAAGGAACUCUGCAAAUUAACGUCGUAACUUCGGAAGAAGACGUGAUCUUUAAAGUGUAGGUGCACAACCGAAGCUUUGAAGAUUCGCAGCGAAAUGGUGGCGGCGACUGUUUAUCAAAAACACAGGGCUGUGCAAAGUCGUGAAGACGACGUAUACGGCCUGACGCUUGCCCGGUGCUGGAAGGUUAAGGCAAGGGGUCAAUCUCGCAAGAGGUGAAGCUCUGAACCGAAGCCCCAGUAAACGGCGGCGGUAACUAUAACAACGGUUGUAGUUAUAAAAUUCAGCUAUAUGCGGGAAAGUCUGGUUAGUAUCGGAUGAUACUCGUUGGGUUUCAGCCCAGCAGUAAAAAUGCAUCCGUGCAGGCAAUCCGCAGGAAAGACUUGGAAAAUUUAAAAUUCAAAAUGCAAAGUGCAAAACCACAAUGCAAAAUGAAAAAUUUCAGUUUUCUCAAGAAUCCUCAGAGACUAUACGCUGAAUCCGAUUCCACUGAAUCGGAAUGAUAUAGUCCGAACCCUGUGGCGACAUAGGGAGAUAGUCUGAAAGGACUAUCCGCCCCGCACUUUCAAGAAAGUGCGGGGUUAUUAAAGUAACAACGCGAACCGUCCUAAGGUAGCGAAGUUCCUUGUCGGGUAAGUUCCGACCUGCACGAAAAGCGUAACGACUGCCACACUGUCUCGACCGGAAGCUCAGCGAAAUUGUAUUGGCCGUGCAGAUGCGGUCUACCCGCGGCAAGACGGAAAGACCCUGUGCACCUUUACUAUAACUUGGCAGUGAAUUUCGGGCUUGUUUGUGUAGGAUAGGUGGGAGCCUUUGAAACCGGGGCGCUAGCUUCGGUGGAGGCAACCUUGAAAUACCACCCUGACUAUUCUGGAAUUCUAACUGACACCCCUAAUCGGGGUGCAGGACACUGUCUGGCGGGUAGUUUAUCUGGGGCGGAUUCCUCCCAAAAAGUAACGGAGGAGUGCGAAGGUCACCUCAGGCUGAUUGGAAACCAGCCGUCGAGCGUAAGAGCAUAAGGUGGCUUGACUGCGAGACUGACAAGUCGAGCAGGUACGAAAGUAGGCUUUAGUGAUCCGGUGGUCCCGCAUGGAAGGGCCAUCGCUCAUCGGACAAAAGGUACGCCGGGGAUAACAAAUGUUGUCCCGUUUGACAGGUAACUGUCAGACAAAGUAUAUGGCUUAUAACGGGGAAGCCCAAAUUUGUUGCGAUAUUAAGGGUAUCGCGCUGUCGUCACUUGAUGACAAAACAGAUGGGUAAUCCCGUGGGAAGUCGCGCGGCAUAGCUACGAAAUCAAAAAUAAAAGUGUAAAGAUCAAAAUUUUUGAGUUUUGAUUUUUGAGAUUUGGUCUUGUUGCGAAGCAGCGUUGACCCCGUAACGACUUCAUUCGUAAUGAAUGGGAUGGGUGUUACUUGUGAGAAAAAUUUCGCAAAAUCUAUGACAUCCAUAAUACGCCAUACUCCCACACGUUCAUGGAAAGUGCGGGAUGAUGAUAUAGUCUAUACUUAUCGAAAGAUAAGAUAAAUUGAACAGGCUGAUCGCUUCCAAGAGUUCAUAUCGACGAAGCGGUUUGGCACCUCGAUGUCGGCUCAUCACAUCCUGGGGCUGAAGCUGGUCCCAAGGGUUCGGCUGUUCGCCGAUUAAAGUGGUACGUGAGCUGGGUUCAGACCGUCGUGAGACAGGUCGGUCCCUAUCUGCCGUGGGCGUAGGAAACUUGAGGGGGGCUGUCCUUAGUACGAGAGGACCGGGAUGGACGCACCUCUGGUGUACCAGUUAUCGUGCCAACGGUAAGCGCUGGGUAGCCAUGUGCGGUGGUGAUAACCGCUGAAAGCAUCUAAGCGGGAAGCACGCCCCAAGAUUAGGUUUCCCCAUCAGACCACUCGAAGAUGACGAGUUUGAUAGGCGGGAGGUGGAAGCGCUGCGAGGCGUUUGAGCCAACCCGUACUAAUUGGUCGAUUGGCUUGGCCUUAUAU